AGUCGAGGGGCAGCAUGAACUUAGCUUGCUAAGUUUGAUGGCGACCGGCGCACGGGUGAGUAACACGUAUCCAACCUGCCGAUGACUCGGGGAUAGCCUUUCGAAAGAAAGAUUAAUACCCGAUGGCAUAGUUCUUCCGCAUGGUAGAACUAUUAAAGNAUUUCGGUCAUCGAUGGGGAUGCGUUCCAUUAGGUUGUUGGCGGGGUAACGGCCCACCAAGCCUUCGAUGGAUAGGGGUUCUGAGAGGAAGGUCCCCCACAUUGGAACUGAGACACGGUCCAAACUCCUACGGGAGGCAGCAGUGAGGAAUAUUGGUCAAUGGACGAGAGUCUGAACCAGCCAAGUAGCGUGAAGGAUGACUGCCCUAUGGGUUGUAAACUUCUUUUAUACGGGAAUAAAGUGAGGCACGUGUGCCUUUUUGUAUGUACCGUAUGAAUAAGGAUCGGCUAACUCCGUGCCAGCAGCCGCGGUAAUACGGAGGAUCCGAGCGUUAUCCGGAUUUAUUGGGUUUAAAGGGAGCGUAGGCGGACGCUUAAGUCAGUUGUGAAAGUUUGCGGCUCAACCGUAAAAUUGCAGUUGAUACUGGGUGUCUUGAGUACAGUAGAGGCAGGCGGAAUUCGUGGUGUAGCGGUGAAAUGCUUAGAUAUCACGAAGAACUCCGAUUGCGAAGGCAGCUUGCUGGACUGUAACUGACGCUGAUGCUCGAAAGUGUGGGUAUCAAACAGGAUUAGAUACCCUGGUAGUCCACACAGUAAACGAUGAAUACUCGCUGUUUGCGAUAUACAGUAAGCGGCCAAGCGAAAGCGUUAAGUAUUCCACCUGGGGAGUACGCCGGCAACGGUGAAACUCAAAGGAAUUGACGGGGGCCCGCACAAGCGGAGGAACAUGUGGUUUAAUUCGAUGAUACGCGAGGAACCUUACCCGGGCUUGAAUUGCAACUGAAUGAUGUGGAGACAUNUCAGCCGCAAGGCAGUUGUGAAGGUGCUGCAUGGUUGUCGUCAGCUCGUGCCGUGAGGUGUCGGCUUAAGUGCCAUAACGAGCGCAACCCUUAUCGAUAGUUACCAUCAGGUUAUGCUGGGGACUCUGUCGAGACUGCCGUCGUAAGAUGUGAGGAAGGUGGGGAUGACGUCAAAUCAGCACGGCCCUUACGUCCGGGGCUACACACGUGUUACAAUGGGGGGUACAGAAGGCAGCUACACGGCGACGUGAUGCUAAUCCCGAAAGCCUCUCUCAGUUCGGAUUGGAGUCUGCAACCCGACUCCAUGAAGCUGGAUUCGCUAGUAAUCGCGCAUCAGCCACGGCGCGGUGAAUACGUUCCCGGGCCUUGUACACACCGCCCGUCAAGCCAUGAAAGCCGGGGGUACCUGAAGUGCGAACCGCAAGAG
rnacentral:rRNA from 1 species